rnacentral:rRNA from 1 species
AGACCCGAAACCCGGUGAUCUAGCCAUGGGCAGGUUGAAGGUUGGGUAACACUAACUGGAGGACCGAACCGACUAAUGUUGAAAAAUUAGCGGAUGACCUGUGGCUGGGGGUGAAAGGCCAAUCAAACCGGGAGAUAGCUGGUUCUCCCCGAAAGCUAUUUAGGUAGCGCCUCGUGAAUUCAUCUCCGGGGGUAGAGCACUGUUUCGGCUAGGGGGCCAUCCCGGCUUACCAACCCGAUGCAAACUGCGAAUACCGGAGAAUGUUAUCACGGGAGACACACGGCGGGUGCUAACGUCCGUCGUGAAGAGGGAAACAACCCAGACCGCCAGCUAAGGUCCCAAAGUCAUGGUUAAGUGGGAAACGAUGUGGGAAGGCCCAGACAGCCAGGAUGUUGGCUUAGAAGCAGCCAUCAUUUAAAGAAAGCGUAAUAGCUCACUGGUCGAGUCGGCCUGCGCGGAAGAUGUAACGGGGCUAAACCAUGCACCGAAGCUGCGGCAGCGACACUGUGUGUUGUUGGGUAGGGGAGCGUUCUGUAAGCCUGUGAAGGUGUGUCGUGAGGCAUGCUGGAGGUAUCAGAAGUGCGAAUGCUGACAUAAGUAACGAUAAAGC